AUUGAACGCUGGCGGCAUGCCUUACACAUGCAAGUCGAACGGCAGCGCGGGAGCAAUCCUGGCGGCGAGUGGCGAACGGGUGAGUAAUAUAUCGGAACGUGCCCUGGAGUGGGGGAUAACUAGUCGAAAGACUAGCUAAUACCGCAUACGAUCUAAGGAUGAAAGUGGGGGAUCGCAAGACCUCAUGCUCCUGGAGCGGCCGGUAUCUGAUUAGCUAGUUGGUGGGGUAAAAGCUCACCAAGGCGACGAUCAGUAGCUGGUCUGAGAGGACGACCAGCCACACUGGGACUGAGACACGGCCCAGACUCCUACGGGAGGCAGCAGUGGGGAAUUUUGGACAAUGGGGGCAACCCUGAUCCAGCAAUGCCGCGUGUGUGAAGAAGGCCUUCGGGUUGUAAAGCACUUUUGUUCGGAAAGAAAUCGCUUCGGAUAAUACCUGGAGUGGAUGACGGUACCGGAAGAAUAAGCACCGGCUAACUACGUGCCAGCCGCCGCGGUAAGAC
rnacentral:rRNA from 1 species